AUACGUAGGGGGCGAGCGUUGUCCGGAAUGAUUGGGCGUAAAGGGCGCGUAGGCGGCCCGGUAAGUCUGGAGUGAAAGUCCUGUUUUUAAGAUGGGAAUUGCUUUGGAUACUGUCGGGCUUGAGUGCAGGAGAGGUAAGUGGAAUUCCCAGUGUAGCGGUGAAAUGCGUAGAGAUUGGGAGGAACACCAGUGGCGAAGGCGACUUACUGGACUGUAACUGACGCUGAGGCGCGAAAGUGUGGGGAGCAAACAGGAUUAGAUACCCUGGUAGUCCACACUGUAAACGAUGAAUGCUAGGUGUAGGGGGUAUCGACCCCUUCUGUGCCGCGGUCAACACAAUAAGCAUUCCGCCUGGGGAGUACGGCCGCAAGGUUGAAACUCAAAGGAAUUGACGGGG
rnacentral:rRNA from 1 species